UACGGAGGGUGCGAGCGUUAAUCGGAUUUAUUGGGCGUAAAGGGCGCGUAGGCGGGCCGUUAAGUCAGAUGUGAAAGCCCCGGGGCUCAACCCCGGAAUAGCAUUUGAAACUGGCGGCCUUGAGGGUAGGCGGAGAAAACGGAAUUCCACAAGUAGCGGUGAAAUGCGUAGAUAUGUGGAAGAACACCAGUGGCGAAGGCGGUUUUCUAGCUUAUACCUGACGCUGAGGCGCGAAAGCAAGGGGAUCAAACAGG
rnacentral:rRNA from 1 species